rnacentral:rRNA from 1 species
UACGAAGGGGCUAGCGUUGCUCGGAAUCACUGGGCGUAAAGCGCACGUAGGCGGAUCUUUAAGUCAGGGGUGAAAUCCCAAGGCUCAACCUUGGAACUGCCUUUGAUACUGGGGAUCUCGAGUCCGGAAGAGGUGAGUGGAACUGCGAGUGUAGAGGUGAAAUUCGUAGAUAUUCGCAAGAACACCAGUGGCGAAGGCGGCUCACUGGCCCGGUACUGACGCUGAGGCACGAAAGCGUGGGAGCAAACAGG